rnacentral:rRNA from 1 species
AAGUCGAACGCUGAAGCCCAGCUUGCUGGGUGGAUGAGUGGCGAACGGGUGAGUAACACGUGAGUAACCUGCCCCCUUCUUUGGGAUAACGCCCGGAAACGGGUGCUAAUACUGGAUAUUCACUGGCCUUCGCAUGGGGGUUGGUGGAAAGGUUUUUUCUGGUGGGGGAUGGGCUCGCGGCCUAUCAGCUUGUUGGUGGGGUGAUGGCCUACCAAGGCUUUGACGGGUAGCCGGCCUGAGAGGGUGACCGGUCACAUUGGGACUGAGAUACGGCCCAGACUCCUACGGGAGGCAGCAGUGGGGAAUAUUGCACAAUGGGCGAAAGCCUGAUGCAGCGACGCCGCGUGAGGGAUGACGGCCUUCGGGUUGUAAACCUCUUUCGCUCAUGGUCAAGCCGCA